AGAGAUUUAGUUUAAUGGUAAAACAUGAUUACUUCUACUAGUAAAAGUAGUGAUCAUUUCCUUGUUCGAUUCCUGGAGUCUCUA